rnacentral:rRNA from 1 species
CCUACGGGUGGCUGCAGUGGGGAAUAUUGCACAAUGGACGGAACUCUGAUGCAGCGACGCCGCGUGAGUGAAGAAGUAAUUCGUUAUGUUAAACUCUAUCAGCAGGGAAGAAAAUGACGGUACCUGAAACAGAAGCUCCGGCGAAAUACGUGCCAGCAGCCGCGGUAAUACGUAUGGAGCAAGCGUUAUCCGGAUUUUAGGGGGGUAAAGGGAGAGUAGGUGGCAGAGCAAGUCCGGAGGGAAAACCCAAAGCUCAACUCUGGGAAUGCUUUAGAAACCGCAUAGCUAGAGUGCAGGAGAGGCAAGUGGAAUGCGUAGUGUAGCGGUGAAAUGCGUAGAUAUUACGAGGAACACCGGUGGCGAAGGCAGCUUGCUGGACUGUAACUGACGCUGAGGCUCGAAAGCGUGGGGAGCAAACAGGAGUAGAUACCCCAGUAGUC